CCCACCAUCAUAAAUACAGAUAAAGAAGUAAAAAUGUGCAGUAAAUAAAAAAUACACAAUAAUAUAAAAAGCAGUAAAUGUACUAUGUAAAGGACGUACAAGCGUUACAGUGUACAUCGUGUAAUAUGUGCUGCAAAUAGUGUCUAAGAGCGCAAGAGUAUUGAUAAAAAGUGUGCAAUUUCAAGCUACAGAACUGGAGAAAAAUUUUCAAACAAGACACACAGAAUAGAGCAACCUUCAUGCAAAAUCAGGAUUUCAAGCUUAGAUUUGGUUAAAUUUUCUACUCACAAUGAGCAGUUCAAAGAACGUAGGACAUCAGACAAAUCUUUCUGAUUAAUGCUGUAUUUCUGGAACUUUUUUUAACCUUUAGAUGCACAAGUGAUUGGACCCUGCACUCUUCCAUUAGUGGGUCAAAAAUAACCUGUAUAAUGCAAAUUAUUAUUCUUAACAAAAAUGACAAAAAAUACCAGAAAAACACAUUGAUUCUUACGUGUUUUUAUUUGUUGUCAUUUGGGUUGAGAUUUUUGUCCACACAAGAAUGAUUUCAUGUUUGAAAUAUGUUUAUUUUUCACUUUAUAACACAUUUUGAACAUUUUCAUAAUUGCAAAAGAAGAAUAUUACACAGAACAGCAAUAGAAGAAUGCCAACCUCCAUUUUGUUGACAUUUUUCCACUGUUUUCCUCAUGAUUUCAAGCUUAGAUUUGGUAAAAUUUUCCAACAAAACAGCGUGUCUCACAAUGAGUAGUUUGAAGAUUCUUCGAACUACUCAUUGUGAGGCGCUGCUUUGUCGGAAUAAAUGUCACAAUUUUAAGCUCAGAAUUGGCUACAUUUUGAAACAAGACACACAGAAUAGAGCAAAUUUCAUGCAAAAUUAAAUCAGGAUUUCAUGCUUAGAUGUGGUCAAAUUUUCCAACAAAACUGCACCUCAGAAUGAGUAGUUCAAAGAAUGUUGGACAUCAGAUGAUUCUUUCUGUUUUCACAGUUUCUGGCUCCGAUUGAUGCUGUAAAUCUGGCAUUUUUAAAACCCUGUAUAACCAUUUGUAUCAUAUUUGAUACACGAGUUUCUGAGUCGGCUGCACAGUGGCGUAGUGGUUAGCACUUUCGCCUUGCAGCAAGAAGGUCCCUGGUUCACGUCCCGGCUUUCCCGGGAUCUUUCUGCAUGGAGUUUGCAUGUUCUCCCUGUGCAUGCGUGGGUUUUCUCUGGGUACUCCGGCUUCCUCCCACAGUCCAAAAAUAUGCUGAGGUUAAUUGAUCAUUCUAAAUUGCCCGUAGGUGUGAAUGUGAGAGUGAUUGUUUGUCUCUGUAUGUAGCCCUGUGACAGACUGGUGACCUGUCUAGGGUGUCCCCUGCCUUCACCUGAGUCAGCUGGGAUAGACUCCAGCCCCCCCCAUGACCCUAGUGAGGAUUAAGAGGUGUAUAGAUAAUGGAUGGAUGGAUGGAGUUUCUGAGUCCUCUAUCUCAUCAACAUGAUAGAUAGUUUAAUAAAUAGGACAAAACUAGUUUUUGUUUCUAAAAAUCAAAGCAAAAAGUUGCCAAAACUGCCCUUUAUCUUAAACUAAAUUAUACUCCUUUUUUUCAGUUUUUGUUUUUUUUGUUUGGUGGAUUUUGUUAAAAGGGUCACUAAACAUCCAAAUAAUUAGAAUUAUCUGGCUGUUUUUUGAUGGGUCAGGCUUUACAGGGGUAAAGACAAGACACCUUUCAUGCCUAAAUUUGAAGGCAAAUCGUCGCUAAACUGCUGGAUGUUUUCCACACCUGAGAUUAGUGGUAGUUUUUCUGUAUUUGCCUAUAAAAAGCUUUUUAAUCUAUGUGUAACGUAUCACAGUGUCUGCUAAUCUGACCAGUGUUUGGCCAGAGGUCAUUCAGCCGACUGCAGGCAGCCGCUCUGUUGUUAACUGUGGGGCAUCGUGCCAGUCUGGCUGCCAAGUAAACCGGGAUGCCACCACACACACACACACACUCACACACUCACACAACACACACACACACUGAGGCGUGUCAGGUUUUUGGCAGGCGCUGACAGAGCUCUGGUGGGCAACCUUCACGGAACGCUAAGAACGACAACCAAACGGCGGCGAGGAGCUUUUCAGAUUGGCUCCGUUUCCUCUUGGAAAAUACGUCGGCCUGUGAUUUUCCUUCACAAAGUCCUCUCCAACAGUUUUCUUUGCCCCCCCCUUUAUCUUUUUUGUUUCAUCCCGACAACAAAACGCCACCUUCGAGCUGUUUGUAGAGUCCGUGUGUUUGUUUGUUUGUACAAAGAGGAUGAAUGUAAUCGCCUUUUGGAGAGUCGGCACGAAACACCAGAUUGACAGAUGUUAGCCGGAUUACCUCAGUGCUGCUUUCAACACGAUCCAGCAGCAGUUUUGUUUUCAUGUGUGUGUUUUUUGUGUGCUUGACAGGUGCCAAGGAGAUUGAUAUUGCAGCGACUCUGGAGCACCUGCGGGACCAAAGGCCGGGGAUGGUGCAGACGAAGGAUCAGUUUGAGUUUGCGCUGACGGCCGUCGCCGAGGAGGUGAACGCCAUCCUGAAAGCUCUUCCCCAGUAGGAAGAAGCUCCGACUGGAGGAUCCUCACUGCUGUCGCCUCCCUUUGUUUCCUCCUUCAUUUAUCUCCCUUUUUGUGCUUCACUUCCACCUCAUUCUGUCUCGUUCUCCUCUUUCUGUCCUUUCAUUUAAUCCAAGUUUUCCGUCUUCAUUUGUCUGCCUCCUGUUUCGUCUCCUUUCUUUCCUUAUUUCCUCCCCUCCUUCCAUCUUAGUAAACAUUGUGCCAGGAAACCGUUGAACCAGUCCUCUACAUUGAUAGACCUUCCUUCUAUUGUAAUGAUCCAGUCAGCCUGUUUUCCCAAAGUUGCAUUUCACUGCUGUUAAACACAUUUUUUGAUAGAUUGCUAACAAAAAAAACAAACAAAAAAAAGGUUUCUCUAUGUUCUCUUCAGAGUAUAUUUAUCAUAUUUUCUGUUCCUACAUCAACGUUAGCAUUAGCCGGGUAUGGCAGCUUUUGGAAGCAUCUACUAUUGGUUUAGCAUGAUCCAAAUUAAAUCUUUGGAGCAUAUAUGAUAAAUAUAUGUAGGAGUUCCUGAAUGAUGUUGUGUUUGCCAAACCUGAGUGUUUUACCGAAUCGAUGCUCCCGGUUGGUCUUUGUGUGACGUUGGUCAUCAUGUCUAUAUCACAAAAAAUUCAUGUUCGUGUCCGAUAAUUAGUGCCAUGCUUUCUGAUCAGUAUGCUACAGUGUCACAGUGCAACUUGUCUGCAUCCGGAAAGGUCGAUAAGAGUGACUUCACUUCCUGGGGAGGUUUAUUUUUCUUUUGUGAAACUAAGUGGCGAGGCAGUAAAAUAUAAAACGCUCCUCGAUAUCCCACUUAAAUAAGAGAUUCUGUUACUGGAAAGGAGGUGAAACAACAUGGAUGUUGUUUUUAUUUUUGUUUUUAAGUGUUGUUUUUUCUUUUUUGUAUCAUCUUAGUAGAAGCAAUAUUGUGUUUCUUCAAUCUGAAUCGUUCUCUCUUGUGGACAACCAAUAUCGUGGCUUGUCGGUGAAGUUACACUCAUGUCUGCCUUAAUAAUAAAAAAAAAAUACAGUAGAUGGACGAACUGGUGAAAAGCCAGGUGGAAGUAGGGCUAGUGAGCAACGCUUCAUUUGAAAGUGGCUUUAUUCCAGUGGAUUAACCUGUGGAUUAAAGGUGAGCCGCCUUGCUUAAUGAAAAUCCGUCUGAUAAACACUGAAGAACGUUCUGCCUUUAAUGACCCGAGGACAGAAAGUUUCCUGAAAGUUUGUGAGAGUCUGGAAUGAAGCCAUUGUUGAAUAAAGUGUUUCUGACUAGUGUUUUUGUGAUAAAAGAGGAUAGUUUUGCUUCUGAAUAGUAGGUCUUCUAUGUAGCAUCAGUGUAUGAUUUGUACAUGUACAGUAGCUGAUCCUGUAUUGCAUCAAAAGACUAGUUUGCGGCAACAUUCAGCAGCUGGUUUUCCCAAAAGCAUCUUAAAAUUAACCAGAGUUUUCAUUCCGCUGUUGAUAAAAGAAGCACCAACACCAUUAAAAGUGAUUCUUUUGUAUGUUUUAGCCCAUUUGUUUUUGUUCCUUUUUAAUUUAAGAUUCACUCUGCACAAUUAAACACCUCCAAAGACUUAAUAUGUGCAAGAGUUGUGAUAACUGGUCAAAUGUGAACCCAGAGAUAGCUGCUUUUCCUGGUUUCCAAACACAAUAUCCAGCGUUUUAAGACAUGGUUUUACCCAUAAAUCAUUGUGUUUGUGGGCUGGGAGAAAUAAUAGCUCUCAUAAAACCCUGGGAUUGGUGGUAAAUUCCUAUUGGCUUGGAUUAUAACUUUCUGGCCAAAAAAACUUCUCUGACUUAAGGUUCGACUGAACAAAACCACUGAAACAUUGAUUAUCCAAAGAUGACUUUGGGAAACCAGCUCACAUAACUGGGCUACUCUCAAUUAAUUGACCAUUUUAUCCGUUAAAUUCUAGUUUUGUUUCUAAAAUCGUAUUUAAAUCAGCAUUAUUACGGCUUGCAUACAAUAUGCUGCUAGUGCAUGACUAUUUAUUCAGCGAACCGGUGUGCUGUACUUUCUUGUUGCCUCGAGACGAUCUUAGCAAACCUCUUCAAGCCAACGACCGAAUGUUGGUCUCAUCUGUUGACGUCAUUUCCUGCACGAGAAGCUCCAAGUACCUUAAAAAGUGCAAAAAAAAGCCAAGGAUUAUCAUCUCCAAACUGUGCAAAUCGUGGUUUAAAGCGAACGGUGCAGGUGGUGCAGUGACAACGUGAUGUAACGCUGCAGGAAUCGACUCCAUUCCUCAUCAAGAAAUUUAAAACACGCUGCAAAGGAACGUCUCUUACAACGGUUCGUUUAAUGCUCAGUGAGAGCUCAUUUUUCUGCCUUUUUAAAGAUACUGUCAUGUAUGUUGUAAAAAUGUGGAAAAACAGCAAUGAAAGCAUUUAAAUUAUCCGAUUCCACCUGUGAAUCGAAGCUAAAAUUGUUAUAAAAGGCGUUUUUUUUUUUUUUUUUUUUUUUUUUUUAAACAGUGAGGAUGCUCGAUUAUUUUCCCCGAUGCUGUUCUUGCUUUCAUACACUCCAUCAAGUAUCAAUAGAUGGCUGGUCUGUUGCAUUAACACUGUACAUAAACCCCAAAAAACACGACAGAAGAUAUUUUGUUCUAUUGGUGUAAACAACUUGUGAAUAAAGUGUCAUUGUUGAUGCAGUAUGGAAAUGCAA